ensembl:miRNA MIR133B microRNA 133b
UGGCUGGUCAAACGGAACCAAGUCCGUCUUCCUGAGAGGUUUGGUCCCCUUCAACCAGCUA